GACAGAGGUGCCAAGCGUUAGGCGGAAUCACUGGGCUUAAAGCGUGUGUAGGCGGAUGUCUAAGUACCUUGUGAAAUCCCACGGCUCAACCGUGGAACUGCUUGGUACACUGGAUGUCUUGAGCCAUCUAGGGGCUACCGGAACAAAUGGUGGAGCGGUGAAAUGCGUAGAUAUCAUUUGGAACGCCAAUGGUGAAAACAGGUAGCUGGGGAUGUGCUGACGCUGAGACACGAAAGCCAGGGGAGCAAACGGG
rnacentral:rRNA from 1 species